UCGACCUCCUGUAGCAGUCAGUCUUCCAGUACCAUCCCUGACGGCUUCGUCACCCGUAAGGACUUCCUAAGACUAAUUAGUUUGGUGGAAACACUGACAGCUGACGUUGCGGAGAUAAAGUUUGCGAUAAAACCCCUGGAUGGUCCCCACGGGAACAGUCCAGAGGCAAACCCUACAGAGCCACCCAGCCAGACAACAAACGUUUCAGAAUCCUCCGUUCUAGAGCAAGGCUCUCAGAGAGGCAAUGAAGAAAGCGACACCACAGACGAAAAGGAAAG